UUUUUUAACGAGAGUUUGAUCCUGGCUCAGGAUUAACGCUGGCGGCAUGCCUAAUACAUGCAAGUCAAACGGAAUGCUUUUAGCAUUCAGUGGCGAACGGGUGAGUAACGUAUAUCUAACGUACCCUGAAGACUGGAAUAACUAUAGGAAACUGUAGCUAAUACCGGAUAGCAUAUGAGGAGGCAUCUUCUCAUGUCUAAAGAAGCGCUUGCUUCACUUCGGGAUCGGGGUAUAUUGCAUCAGCUAGUUGGUAAGGUAAAGGCUUACCAAGGCAACGACGCAUAGCCGUGCUGAGAGGCAGAACGGCCACAAUGGGACUGAGAUACGGCCCAUACUUCUACGGAAGGCAGCAGUAGGGAAUUUUUCACAAUGGACGAAAGUCUGAUGAAGCAAUGCCGCGUGGGGGAUGACAGUUUUCGGAUUGUAAACCCCUGUUGUGAGGGAAGAACAAACUAUAUAGGAAAUGAUAUAGUUCUGACGGUACCUUACCAGAAAGUCACGGCAAACUAUGUGCCAGCAGCCGCGGUAAUACAUAGGUGGCAAGCGUUAUCCGGAUUUAUUGGGCGUAAAGGGUGCACAGGUGGUGUAACAAGUUAGGCGUUUAAUGCCGGGGCUCAACCCCGGCCUGCGUUUAAAACUGUUACACUAGGAUAUCGGUGGGGUCAGUAGAAUUUCAUGUGUAGCGGUGGAAUGCAUAAAUAUAUGAAGGAAUACCAAUGGCGAAGGCAGCUGACUGAACGAUUAUCGACACUUAAGCACGAAAGCGUGGGGAGCAAAUAGGAUUAGAUACCCUAGUAGUCCACGCCGUAAACGAUCCUGACUAGGCGUUGCCAUGAGGCAGUGCUACAGCUAACGCAUUAAGUCAGGCGCCUGGGUAGUACGUACGCAAGUAUGAAACUCAAAGGAAUUGACGGGGACCCGCACAAGUGGUGGAGCAUGUGGUUUAAUUCGAUGAUACGCGAAGAACCUUACCUAGACUUGACAUACUUGGCAAUGACAUAGAAAUAUGUUUGAGGUUAACCGACGUACAGGUGGUGCAUGGUUGUCGUCAGCUCGUGUCGUGAGAUGUUCGGUUAAGUCCGGCAACGAGCGCAACCCACGUCUUAUGUUACUAACAUUAAGUUGAGAACUCAUAAGAGACUGCCCUCGUAAGGGGGAGGAAGGUGUGGAUGACGUCAAAUCAUCAUGCCCCUUAUGUCUAGGGCUACACACGUGCUACAAUGGCUGAUACAAAGUGCCGCAAACCAGUGAUGGUAAGCAAAUCACAAAAAGUCAGUCUCAGUUCGGAUAGAAGUCUGCAAUUCGACUUCUUGAAGUUGGAAUCACUAGUAAUCAUAGGUCAGCAAUACUAUGGUGAAUGCGUUCUCGGGUCUUGUACACACCGCCCGUCAAACCACGGAAGUCGGCAAUAUCUAAAACCGUCGUGCUAACCAUUUAUGGAAGCAGACGUCUAGGGUAGGGUUGAUGACUGGGGUUAAGUCGUAACAAGGUACCCCUACCGGAAGGUGGGGGUGGAUCACCUCCUUUCUA
rnacentral:rRNA from 1 species